GGGGUUUAGGCAUUGGAGAUAAAUUAUAAAGAGUCUAGUACUGAUAAAUUUAGAUUAAAUUUUAUGGAGCUAUUAUUUUUAUAACUUUGGAAAGUAAUGAGAAUUGUGCUAUAAACUUUAUGAUUGGUGAACAAUGCAUGUUAUUGAUGAGUCAAUGUAUUGUAUUGUGGUGUUCAAACAAGGAUGUUGAUUGUAAUAAAAGGUAUAUGGUUAUAAGGUGAUGGAAGUCUGAUCCAAGUUGCAUAUCAAGUCCAAAGGUUUAAGAUCUCUCGGUGAGAUCCUUAGUGUUUUAAAAUGAAAGUAGGAGCUCAGUCUUGGGGGUCAUCCUAACGCUCCAAUGGCCAAUCAUGCUCACUUAGAGAGAUUGAACCAUGUGGUGAGGAGUAGAAGGAGGUCUUUAGUCUUGGGGGCUCCCAGUAUGUCUCAAGGCCCGGAACGGACUAACCUCGUGAGUGUGGCAGGGUGGGGAACCCAAGUUUCAUAAGUCACCACGAGUGCAAGACCCGCCAUAGCUCGACUAUCAUUUUAAAGUCCGGACGAGUCUAGUCUAGAAUAUAACAGGUGUAGUUUGUGGUGUGCUUUACUAUUGUGAUUAUAUUGCCUCUUG
rnacentral:lncRNA from 1 species